GGCAGUGUUGGCUUAACGGUUGAGGCACUGGGUUACUGACCAGAAGGUUUUGGGUUCAAGCCCCAGCACUGCCA